AAGACCUGAUUUAGGGUGUUUCUUGCUAAUUUUAUUAUUUGGAGUACCAGUCUGCCUGAGCUCAUGUGCACUUGAUUUGAACACCAGCAGAUGGCACACUGGAUUUUAUGUUCAUGAUAAAAGAGAAGGAAUCACUGGCAGCAUGACAGUGAUGCUUUUCUCAUAUUUCAUUUUUUGAUCAGGGUUUUCUGAUGCACUGUCAGUGGCUUUACCAUCAUAUUAACAUUUCACCAUAUUGAAUUGCAUAAAAACACCAAGAUACUGUAAGAAAAUGAUUUCAAUACGUGAAUGAACAUCUAAACUAGUAAAUAAUGCUAAAUGUAAAACGUAUCUCUUUUGUUGGUAGCACUGAUGCACAUCUCUGGAGGCCAUUUGUCCAGAAAUGUAAUGUGUAUGAGAGUUUGUUGCCCUCUAGUGGUGAAGUGAAAUCCUUGAACUAAAAUACUGUAAAUAUUAAGUGACCACAACAUUUUAGGCAUUUUACCUUUUGCAAUACCUUGUCAUUUAAGAAAACGUGGGGGACAAACAAUCUAUGUUUUGUAAUAUUUGCUACAACUCUUUACCUCUUAAGCUAACAAAGCAGUGUAUAACAGAAACAGGCUUCCCCAUCUCCUUUCAGGAGAAGACCUUCCCCUGUGCUCUUGUGGUAAAGCCACAAACUCCAGAUCUUCCCUGUCAAAAUGCCAGACUCCAAUGAAGCAGUUCCAGCAUCAUGCCAGGUCAUCAAACAGGACUUUGACAAAUGUGUCAGAGAGAAGGGAGAGGACGCCUGCAAAGAUCUGAUGGACGCCUUCCAGUCCUGUUUAAAAACCCUGUCUGAGGGAUCAUGAUACGUAAGGAAGUACAUCUUCAUCAAAGCAUUCCCUUCACUGCUGAUUGCACCGGACCGAACCAUCAGAAAAACUGAAGAGGGGGGUGCUGAUACUGAACGUCGUAAAAUACUGUAUUCUUCUGUCAAUGUGAAACAUUUUUUGUCAUAACUGUGAUAACUCCAUUAUGGAUUAGACUCUGAUAAACUCUGCACUGUAACCUUUUUUGCACAAAAAAG